ACCCCUCCCAGCCCCUCCGCCUUUCCUCCUCGUGGUGUGUUUCUCUCUCUCUCUCUCUCUCUCUGCCGACUUGUCUGACCUCUUCUUUCCUUCCUUGGGCCUUCCCUCUUCCGCCUCCACCCCUGCUUCGCUCCAGAUCAAUUGACGCUAUCCCCGACAACCAAAAAUAUAAGCAGUUGCAGAGGGAGCUCUCCCAGGUUCUGACCCAGCGCCAGAUGUACAUUCAGCCAGAUAACUAAAGCAGCCCAGGUCUGUGCAGACGUUUGCGGACAAAUCGAAGCAGGAAGCUCUGAAGAACGACCUGGUGGAGGCGUUGAAGAGAAAACAGCAAAGUUAGAAGCCGGCGUCUCCCCUUGAGGGUGCUAACAAGACACGCCAUGCACUCAUUAGCGCCCCCCCCCCCCCCCCCCCCCCAAAUUUCUUGGAAUCUUCUGUUUUUUCUCUCUCUCUCUCUCUCUCCUCGCUCCGUGGCAUCCUCCUCCCCAUUAUUUUCAUUUCCUGCAUACAAUAUUCUCUCCCCCCCCCCCCCAAAAAAAUAAAAAAAAAAAAGCCCUCCGUAUUCUCCCCCCCAUCGCCAUCCCAAAUAAACGUCUUUUGGGGGUGUGUAGGUGGGGGGGGGACUCUCUAGCCGCUUGAUUUCCACUGUCUUAUUGCCACAGCCUUGCAAAACGUCUUUUCUGUUGGGAAACCUCUGAGAUAAUUGUGCUCCUCCCGGCCUUUUUUCUCCUCCCUGCUCCUCCCACCCACCCCCCCACUUUUCUUCUGGGCCUUACGUUUAUCCGCCUAUUUCCACCGAUCAUGUUUGGGUUUUUUUUUUCUUUUAUUCUCGGUGCGCCCCCCCCCCCUCUCCGGUCUCCCACUGCUCUUUCCAUAUUUUGUUAUAUUGGUGUAAAAAAUGUACAAGAAACAAAAACAAAAAAAAACCCCUUUAUUAAAUAACCAUGGUUUGUGAAAGAAGGAAGAA